GGAAGGAUCAUUAACAAUUAAAAAAUAAUGAAAUUUUUUUCAUUAUUUUUUGACAGUAACAUAAAACACCAAAUUUUUUAUAUUCUAAAACCAAAAACCAAAAAGUGAUAAUAUAAUACAAUAUAAAAUGUUUUCACUUUCAACAAUGGAUAUCUUGGCUCCCGUUUCGAUGAAGAACGUAGCAAACUGCGAUAAUUGACGUGAAUUGCAGAAUAAAGUGAAUCGUCGAGUUUUUGAAUGCACCCUGCACCUCGGAGACAAAUCUCUGAGGUAUGCUUGGUUGAGUGUUACUCAAAAAUAUAUAAAAAAUAAAAUAUUUUUUUGAAGGUCUCCUUAUUCGAGUCCUUUGAAAUAAUGCAACGAGGAGAAAUUGAAAGUAAGAGCUGUAAUUGAAAAAUGAAAAUUUUUCGAGCUUCAAAUCGGUUUCUUCUCUGGAAUCUUUUUUUCAAAUAUACCUCAACUCAAGCAAGACUACCUGCUGAAUUUAAGCAUAUUAAUAAGCGGAGGAAAAGAAAACAACAGUGAUUCCCUUAGUAACGGCGAGUGAACAGGGAAAAGCUCAGACUUGAAAUCCGGAAGUCUUUUUGAUUUCCUGAAUUGUAGUCUUUCAAGUAACACCCCUCGGUUCCCUCUGUCAUGAAAAAGUAUCCUGGAACGGAUUGGCAAAGAGGGUGAGACCCCCGUUUUCAUGUGACGGAGAGGAGCUGGUACAGCGGGUGCUGCUUGUCGAGUCAGGUUGCUUGAGAGUGCAGCCUAAAAUGGGUGGUAAACUUCACCUAAAGCUAAAUAAGCAACGGGAGACCGAUAGCGAAAAAGUACCGUGAGGGAAAGAUGAAAAGUACUCUGGAAAGAGAGUAAAAAGUGCUUGAAAUUGUUGAAAGAGAAGCGUUUGGACUUAGUGGCUGCCUUGCUCCUGGAGAAAGCUUCUACGCAGCAAUGCCUGGGAGUAUUUUCUUCAGGGGCGGUGGGCUGGCACUGGUUGAGUCGCUGACUUCAAGAAAGUCAAAAGCAGCUGAAUCGCUUGGAUGAGUUUGAGCUCUGUGGGUGCUGCAAUGGAUGGGGCAACCUGUUCAUUUUUGCUGUCUGACGGAGCGAACGACUUAUCGUUUUUAUCAAGCGCAAGCUCACUCGACCAGUAAUUGAGAUAAAGCACACGGUCCCUUCAGCAGCUCAUUUCGCAGGCGCGUUUCCUGGCUGGGGCCAAUGGGUGGGGCCACCUCACUUGUUUCUCUUGCAGGUUUCUGCAAGAGAGCAGGCGAGACCCCGUUCUUGGAUCUGGUCAAACGGGGGCGCGCUUCAGCGGAAGUUCUAGAAGGGACUUGUAAAAUCGCUUUGCCAGCAAAAUAAGUUCAAAUGUCCCGUCUUGAAACACGGACCAAGGAGUCUAACAUGCACGCGAGCGUUCUGGUGAUGAAAACCAAGCAUAUUCGAAUUGACCGACGCGAAACGAAAGUGAAAAAGAAGUGGGAAGCGGCUCUUUUAAACUUGGGAGCUGCUGCACCACUCACCCACUCUGAGGUUCGUCCAAAAUGGGUGAGAGUGAAAGUGUGCAUGAUAGGACCCGAAAGAUGGUGAACUAUGCUUGGGUAGGACAAAGCCAGGGGAAACCCUGGUGGAAGUUCGUAGCGAUACUGACGUGCAAAUCGUUCGUCAAACCUGUGCAUAGUGGCGAAAGACUAAUCGAACCAUUUAGUAGCUGGUUCCCUC
rnacentral:misc_RNA from 1 species